ACCCCAAGCCUGGCGAGCCCAAGUACUACGGCAAGAAGACCGCGCAUAGGAAGAAGGCCUACUCCGAUGGGUAUCUGGCGUUACAUCCUGACACACCUGACCCCAUUGCGGCGGAUCUGGACGAAAGGGUGGUGGUGGGCAUGGGGCCGAAGGAUCACGGUCGGGAGGCGGUUCUCGAUGCUGUGAUCACUCCUACUAUCUCCUACACACAGCUCCGUCGGAUCGACCUGACCCUGAGCCAGCGCCCGAGCACGCCCAUGAGCAGUGCACCGUCACUGUCCCUCUUUCAGGAGCAGCAAACUAUAAGCCUACAUGGAGUACACACGCCAGGAGACCAUGGCGUGGCACAACCGCCUUCAUGCAUACCAUCAGCAGAGGGAUCGCCAGAUGCAGCACGCUUUUCAGGAAAUGGCGGCCGACAGGUGUCCUCAAUAGCCAUCAGCAGAGGGUCCUCCAGCAAAACCAACGUUGCUGACCUUUGAGGAGUUUGUGGCACAGAACGUUGGCCCCUCGCCGGGAACCGGUGGAUCAACCGUUGGCGGUGGUGUUCGCAGCACUCCCGAGUCACGAAGCUCGACCACUCCCAUCCAUGGAGGCGGAGGCGGAGGUGGAGGCGGUCUUGGCGGUAGCGCUGCCGCUAGCACUGAUGACCUGGGCUUCAGCGGUCUUGGCGGUGACGACCUCCGCGGUGCUCGACGUCCUGGCGCUUAAGCCUUUCGGUUACUUGUGUGCUUAUGCUUAUGUUUCUUUAGAUGACUUGUGUGUGGUGAUGAUGAUAAACUUGUGGUCUCUGAUGGUCCUUUAGAUGACUUGUGUGCUUGUCUUAUAUGCUUAUGCUUAUGUUUAUGUUGAUUGUGAUGAUGCUUAUGCAUAUAUUGUUGUG